UAUGGUCUGAUAUUUAUUUGUAUGCAUGAUAAUUGUGUGAAAUUACGUCUGAAAUUAACGUUGAACCCAAUUAGUACUGUAUGCACGAUUGUUUAAAUGGGCUAUUUCAAUAUUUAAUGCAUAAUCUAAAGUUUGCCAAUCUUAUUCUAUUUCGUCAAGCACAACAUGGAUGGAAUCAUUUGUUGCAAUCUAAUGGUCAUCACCUUCCAAACAUCGCUACAUCAAUUGAGGGUUACUCGAUUAAUUGAUCACCGAGCAGAUUCAAUUUCAUCACCGUCGUUCUACAUCGACAUGGCCUAAUCAUUGUGUUGGCAGCUUCGACCCCCUUCGUAUGGAAUGUACAACAUCGCUCCUCGUUUCCGGGUGCAUUUAUCUGAAGACGAAGACAAAGAAUAAGCACUCAUUUCAACCAAAAACAUGAAAAAAAAAUCAUCAAAGGCGUACCCGCACCAGGUCCAAGUUGGAGGCACAAAUGCGAAUUGCGUCUGGAAACACAUAAAAAUUAUUGAUUUCUGCUCACAUGAAAAAAAUGUAUGUACCACUUACCUGCAAGAGGUCCAAAUGCGAGGCAACUACACGGCAUGGACAGUUUUCCCACUGAAAACUCCUUAAAUCCACGGAAUCCAAAACAGUACCAAACCAUCUUACUUCUGAAAAUGUAAACAACUCGAUGGUCAUCCACAUUUAUCACAAAGGAAUGCCCCGGGAGAGGUAAUCGGCGAGAAUGAUUCGCCGUCCAUAGGCGUGCAGGUCGCAGGAGGGGCCCGGAGAAAAUGCAGAAGUUUUUUUUUAUCAGAUCUCAGUUAGUUCUUCUGUAGAAUUGUUACUAUACUAGCUAGUUAGUGUAGAAGAGCAAUAGAAUGAUUAUUACUGUUUGAAAAAAUAUGAAUUUGGUUGAAAUCCAUAUGGUUUCAACGGGGGCGGCAUGUUCUGGAUCGAUAAUAUUGGUUAUGAUACCAAAACCACCCCAUCUAUCAUGCUGUCAGUUUAUGUGCUCUCUCAGAGAAGAAUGAUCUCUCUGCCGAUCUUUGCCGAUGAUCAGUACUUUUUAUGUUGACAAACUCAGUUCACACAAGACCUCAUCCAGUUCACAUCGCGACCAAAUUUAUUCGCUAGGUUGACUGCCAAUAAAAAGUCAAAUUUGUUUGAAAACGUUAAGUGUUUUUAAUCUUUGAGAAAAGAUCCGCGUUACCCGUGUCAGCGUGCAACAGUGUACGUUUCCGUGUGUGCAACACUAUCGCCGUGGAGCCUUCAUCGCCCACGAAAGGAACACCCGCAUCAAGUGCCCCAAAGUGUUAAGUUUCGGUCGUCCAACAGCAGCAGUUAAUACAGUCCACUUGCGUUAUCUCGGACGAUCCGAAACAGUAACAGUUUUUAUGACAAACCACUAAAAGCAAAAGACAUCUAAUUUGCUUGAAAACAAGAGCCAGAAAGAUAAUUUUCUGGAAACCUUUGUCUAAAAGCGAUGUCCAUCAGCUCUCGGACAAGAGUUUCCGGUAGAGUAAAUCGGUAGUGUAAACAGUCUACAAAGGCCGGAGUUUUUCGAUGCGCUAACUCACGGCUAAAUUGUUUCGCGGACUGUGGACUGAAUUUCGUUGUUCGGCUUAAAAAACGGUUGUGUGAUCGUAGUGCAUGUGAUCGUGUGAAAUAAUACACGAAUGUGGCUAUAAAAUCUAGAGAAUAUCGAAAAAGGUCUUCUUCGUGGUGCAUGCCGCAUGCCACCGACCUACUCGAUACGCCAAAAGCACCGAUCGACUACCGAUCAGCAAGCGGAGUAUUGAUCGUGUUCGGCGUGAAAUUAACGUAAGGCAAAACACAUGCAAAAUAUUUCACCAAUUGCAUUACACAUUUUUCUGCAGAUUAGGACGACAGUAGAGGAGGGCAGGAGAGAAGGGCCCCGUAGCCACUUUCUCGAAUAUCGAGCAAAGCACUGAUCGCGUCCGACUUGAGAUAAAUAUUAGACGACAGCAGAAGAGGAUAGGAGAGAAGGGCUCUGUAGCCACUUUAUCGAACCCAACUCCCUGCAUGUCAACGGCCUUCCUCGAGAAGGCCGUUUUCGGGAGUUCGAUCUUCUUCUUCGAUCUUCGAAGUCAUCGAGUCGCAACAACGUUGAAAUCUCCGAGGUGACGGAGAUCGAAUGCAUGCGGGAACGUAGGAGAAGCCGAGUCGUCGUUGCAUGAAGAAACGACAAAGCUGAAGGAAGAAGUUGCUGAUUUCGGGAAUUGCCCUCUAAUAUUUGUGCAAACCAAACAACAAGUGCAUGCAAACUUGUUGUUGUUGUCGUCGUUGUCAUCGAAAGGAAUUCGCACAAGAGCGAAAAGUGCAGUAGCUGCAAUCAACGAGCAGUCAUCGGAAAGCUUGUGCAAAAGUGAAACAUCGAGCUAGCGCGUCGAGGAAGUGAGUGACUCGGAACUCACCACCCAGCAUUGGGUGAAGGAAAAUCGGGAGAGCGGAAGAAUUUGUACCAGCACGAUCGAAUCAGCAGCAUGCCGAUGCAUGCAGCAUUCUACUAGCGCGCUAGUUGCGAGUAUUUAGAACGGCCAGCAGGAAUUAAGAUCGCAUCCAAGCGAACUCGAAAAGUGCCCCAGCAGCGGAGAACCGCUACUGGCAAUCAAUUAACUGUGUAUCACUACGGAUUUGAAUGUUUGUAUAGUUUGUAAGUAGCAUUUAAGUAAAAUCAUAGUUCCUAAGAUUAUGUGGAUUUGCAUGCAAUAAUAAGCACGAUUUCAUGAACAUGCAAUCUGAAUUUAUUUAUUUGCGCUAUUUGAUAUUUUGAGCACCUUAACAACAUAGAGAGUGCUUUAGCCGGGCGUGGACGAUUAUGCUACGGGGCUCGAAUUGCAAAUAGAUUUCAAAGUAGUUUAAAUCCGAAUAGCCACGGA